GUUUGAAAGGAGUGAAGACCUUUAUUUCCUCUGAUCCAUUGUUCCGAUUUUGGAUGGAACCCAGACAAUUUUUUUUUGAAUGUUUGUCAAUGUCCGGUAUCAAAGUGUUUCUGAGCUGCUUCGAUGGUAGAAUUUAUGUUGCUAAAGUGUUGUCAUGCAGGACUUUGUCAUAAGGAAUGGUCAGGCCAGGGAGAAAAACAAAACAAUGUUUUCUGGAGUAUUUUCCAGUGAUGAAUGUUUCCUCUUCCACGUGGGAUAAAUUCAGAAAAUGCUGAUGCUGCCUCAACUAUUCCCAUUUCCACUGUGUGCAGUUCCCUGCGCUUGUCCUUUAUUUGGAAUUUAGUUCCUCUGGAAUUCCAGAAAGACAACAGCACUCCACCCAAAUGCCAAUUACAUCUUGCUCCACAUCGUUAUCAUCCCACUUCUUCUCCGCUGCCUCAGAUAUGUCAUAUUUUUUGUCCAACAUCCAGGAUUAGAUGAGCAGUUUUCAUACAAUGAAGUAUUAUGAAAUUUGUGGGCGUUUCCCUUGUCUGCCGCCAACAGAUCAAUUCCAAGCCUAACAGUUCCAUUCCUUUCUCUAUAGCCACUGUCUGGUGCUGUGAUUUAAAGUUAUUUGACCCAAAGUUAUUUGACUUUCUAAUCCCACAUCCUCACUGUACGAAGUUUAACUCAAGUACUGUUGAAAUCUUCAUCCAUAUCUUUAAUUCAAAGUUUUAAUUUUUGAAUGGGUUCUGGCUCGCCUGGCAACCUCCAUUAAGUUGUAUUCAUCCAAGAUCUCCUGGUUGUAUUCAACUGAUACCAUCCACUUUGUCAAUGUUGCUAAGUCAUAUUUGAGUUACAGGCAGUUGCUGAGUUAGUUAAAUACUCAUUAGCAAUGCUGCUGAGUUAGUUAAAUACUAGUCUUUUUAAAAUCAUUCUGGAGACUU